rnacentral:rRNA from 1 species
GACGAACGCUGGCGGCGUGCUUAACACAUGCAAGUCGAACGGAAAGGCCCUGCUUUUGUGGGGUGCUCGAGUGGCGAACGGGUGAGUAACACGUGAGUAACCUGCCCUUGACUUUGGGAUAACUUUAGGAAACUGGGGCUAAUACCGGAUAGGAGCUCCUGCUGCAUGGUGGGGGUUGGAAAGUUUCGGCGGUUGGGGAUGGACUCGCGGCUUAUCAGCUUGUUGGUGGGGUAGUGGCUUACCAAGGCUUUGACGGGUAGCCGGCUUGAGAGGGUGACCGGCCACAUUGGGACUGAGAUACGGCCCAGACUCCUACGGGAGGCAGCAGUGGGGAAUAUUGCACAAUGGGCGGAAGCCUGAUGCAGCAACGCCGCGUGCGGGAUGACGGCCUUCGGGUUGUAAACCGCUUUCGCCUGUGACGAAGCGUGAGUGACGGUAAUGGGUAAAGAAGCACCGGCUAACUACGUG